rnacentral:rRNA from 1 species
GUGGGGAAUAUUGGACAAUGGGCGAAAGCCUGAUCCAGCCAUGCCGCGUGUGUGAAGAAGGUCUUCGGAUUGUAAAGCACUUUAAGUUGGGAGGAAGGGUAGUAACCUAAUACGUUGCUACUUUGACGUUACCGACAGAAUAAGCACCGGCUAACUUCGUGCCAGCAGCCGCGGUAAUACGAAGGGUGCAAGCGUUAAUCGGAAUUACUGGGCGUAAAGCGCGCGUAGGUGGUUUUGUAAGUUGGAGGUGAAAUCCCCGGGCUCAACCUGGGAACUGCCUCCAAAACUGCAUGACUAGAGUACGGUAGAGGGUAGUGGAAUUUCCUGUGUAGCGGUGAAAUGCGUAGAUAUAGGAAGGAACACCAGUGGCGAAGGCGACUACCUGGACUGAUACUGACACUGAGGUGCGAAAGCGUGGGGAGCAAACAGGAUUAGAAACCCGAGUAGUCC